GACGAACGCUGGCGGCGUGCUUUACACAUGCAAGUCGAACGGAAAGGCCCUGCUUUUGUGGGGUGCUCGAGUGGCGAACGGGUGAGUAACACGUGAGUAACCUGCCCUUGACUUUGGGAUAACUUCAGGAAACUGGGGCUAAUACCGGAUAGGAGCUCCUGCUGCAUGGUGGGGGUUGGAAAGUUUCGGCGGUUGGGGAUGGACUCGCGGCUUAUCAGCUUGUUGGUGGGGUAGUGGCUUACCAAGGCUUUGACGGGUAGCCGGCCUGAGAGGGUGACCGGCCACAUUGGGACUGAGAAACGGCCCAGACUCCUACGGGAGGCAGCAGUGGGGAAUAUUGCACAAUGGGCGGAAGCCUGAUGCAGCAACGCCGCGUGCGGGAUGACGGCCUUCGGGUUGUAAACCGCUUUCGCCUGUGACGAAGCGUGAGUGACGGUAAUGGGUAAAGAAGCACCGGCUAACUACGUG
rnacentral:rRNA from 1 species